rnacentral:rRNA from 1 species
GACGAACGCUGGCGGCGUGCUUAACACAUGCAAGUCGAACGGAAAGGCCCUGCUUUUGCGGGGUGCUCGAGUGGCGAACGGGUGAGUAACACGUGAGUAAACUGCCCUUGACUUUGGGAUAACUUCAGGAAACUGGGGCUAAUACCCGAUAGGAGCUCCUGCUGCAUGGGGGGGGUUGGAAAGUUUCGGCGGUUGGGGAUGGACUCGCGGCUUAUCCGCUUGUUGGGGGGGUAGUGGCUUACCAAGGCUUUGACGGGUAGCCCGCCUGAGAGGGUGACCGGCGACCAGAGGCCUACGGGAGGCACCAGUCUGCUACGUGCGGCAACGGUCGGGAGUCUUGCACAGUGAGGCGGCGCGUGUGGCGAAGGCCCUGGGUGCGUAAUGCCGUGCUACGGGUUGUAAACCGAUUUGGCCUGUGCCGUGCAGUGAGUGACGGUACUGGAUCAAAAAGCACCGGCUAACUACGUG